AUUUUCUCAGCUUUGCGCAGAUGAGGUUUAUCCGAGGCACAAUUAUUGCUAAUUGAAAACUUUUCCCAAUACCCCGACAUGACGACUUGAAAUAUAGUCGGUAUUAGCAAUUUUUGACAGUCUACAGGGAC
rnacentral:snRNA from 1 species